rnacentral:rRNA from 1 species
UGGGGAAUUUUGGACAAUGGGCGCAAGCCUGAUCCAGCCAUGCCGCGUGCGGGAAGAAGGCCUUCGGGUUGUAAACCGCUUUUGUCAGGGAAGAAAUCUUCUGAGUUAAUACCUCGGGAGGAUGACGGUACCUGAAGAAUAAGCACCGGCUAACUACGUGCCAGCAGCCGCGGUAAUACGUAGGGUGCAAGCGUUAAUCGGAAUUACUGGGCGUAAAGCGUGCGCAGGCGGUUUUGUAAGACAGAGGUGAAAUCCCCGGGCUCAACCUGGGAACUGCCUUUGUGACUGCAAGGCUUGAGUGCGGCAGAGGGGGAUGGAAUUCCGCGUGUAGCAGUGAAAUGCGUAGAUAUGCGGAGGAACACCGAUGGCGAAGGCAAUCCCCUGGGCCUGCACUGACGCUCAUGCACGAAAGCGUGGGAAGCAAACAGGAUUAGAUACCCUGGUAGUCACGCCCUAAACGAUGUCAACUGGUUGUUGGGAAGGUUCCUUCUCAGUAACGUAGCUAACGCGUGAAGUUG